GCUGCACGUAGUAAAUCUGCAACAGGGGGGAGCUCAGCCGUCUCAUUCAUCCUGCACCAAGCAGAGGGCUAAAACAAUUGCCACGCUUAAGACAAAUGUCAGUGUGAGUCAUACCAGCCGGAGCGCAAACAUGUUUGCUGUCGGGACAAACCCCUCACCAGCAGUAGCACAAAACGUGGAGAAGCAGUCUUGGCAUGCUACCAACCCAGUGAAAAAUCCGCCACCUAGCUAAAUCAGGUAUGGUCUGUUUCUGAAAGGUAUUAUUUAAGGAGCAUUCAGGGUAUGUUUGGAAGCACUUCCACUCUCUCACUCUCCUACAAGACAAAUCUUCAUGUCAUUAACCUUUAUUUGCCUUUUAAACAGUAAAAUGUAAGUCUGUUAAACCACAGAGUUCCAAUUUGAUAUUUUGAUCAUCUCCAUCUGCUUAAUGGGAAACGUGCAGUGGUAAGAGAGAAAAAAAAUAGGUAUGACUGGAAUAAGUUAGCGCUGUUUUCCUUUUCGUCCAAUGCUUGCUGCCAAACAUGCUUGCUGCUGGUCACUUGCCUCACUCACUGCCAGCAAGUGCUCAGCUGGGCACGUCACCAAUAUUUAACCCUCAAUAAAAUUAAAUCACAGUAAUGCUUUGCACUCAUUUAGGGUUUUACAUACCGCAAACACUGUGAAAAAAUUAACUGCACACUCUGUAACACACCUGCAAGCUAAAUUGAGUAUUGUUAUUCAUACCUUAUGCAAAAGAGAAUUUCACUGGAGAUGGGAUAAUUGACCUGCCCAAAGCUAUGCAACACAGGUGCUCCUGUUUCCUGGUUCUCUCUCUGCCAACAGACCUUUUCUGAAAUUCAGAGUGAGUUCUGUCUUCAUUUCUGCAUCUUUCCGCUGCUGAGGGAAAGCAGGGAACAGGUUUCUGUACCCAGUGGUAUGAGUGGUACAGGGCUGCUGUGAGAGCGAUUCCUAGCUGCAUUGCCUGUGGUGGACCAGAAUCAACAGGACUGCAGCAGUGCUGUUUCUACCUCCCCAUGGUAAGCGAGGAUUAGCUGCAGAAAAUUAUUUUAUCUAUAUUUGGUCUACAAUGAUUUACUAAUAAUUUGGUAAAAGGAACAUUAAAGGCCUUUUUCACAAAAGACUACCAAGUUUUAGCUUAUCUGGAUGUCUUCUAGUACUGCAAGGAGGACAGUAGAGGACUCAGCAGUGCACCACACACUGCUCCUCAGACUGCCUCUCUCUUCCCCUCAACAGUAAAAAAGGGUAGGACCUGAACCGAGGUAAAAAUCCUCACAUGUCACAGGCUGGACAACAGAUUAAUGUAGGCAGAGAUCCUGUUACAACACCAGCUGUUCCUCCUGCACCAUGACCAACAGCCACAGUGCAGGUGAGACCCAAUCACGCUCACUGCAUUAGAAAUCAAAGGCUUUUUCC
rnacentral:lncRNA from 1 species